ensembl:lncRNA
GGUGGAGUUCUUUGCUGACUAUGCCUACCGACCCCAGGGACCACUGAGGGCCACAACCCUGCAUGUGUUGGGGGUGGGGAGGUUCAGCUAAAAUACAGGGAUGCCCCAGCCAAGGCAGCUGGAAGCUGGUGCUGAGGCUGGGGCCUUGCUCCCUGAAGAGCUCAAAGUGGGAUUAGGUCUGCUCCCCGCCAGCCUGGCUCCACGCCAGCUGCAAGGCCAGAUUUCCACACGUGGCAGCUGAGGCGAGAGGCUAAGCUCUGAGGAUUAAUGCCAGCCUUGGGCAGGACCCAGCUCCCGAGUCAAAUGAUCUUCAGCUGGGCACCAGGAGCUCAGGCAAAUGAGAUAAUGGAAUCCAAGCUUCAUCAGGGGAAGAGGCAGGGUCCAGCGACCCGAGCCCUGGUGGGGAAGGUAUGCGUAGACCAUCAGGAGCAUCCUCCCUGCUUCCUGGGCAUUAGAUAGAACUCGCUUCCCAGCCCUCUCUGAGCUGUUCUGGGACCAAGACUUCUCCAAAGCAGUGGAUAUCCAAGUUCUAGUUCCCCUUCUGUGGUGGGAUGCAGCCAACGUGAGACCCUAGGGGUGGGGGAACCAUAAGAUGGGAGAGGGCCUGGAUGCCUAGAGUCACCUACAGACCAGGCCAUCAUGUUGGACAUAAACCUCUACUGUGUUUGAGCCAAUAUAACUUUGAAGAUCCAUAGCCUGGCCCACCCUGUUGUGCGUGCUUGUGUGUGUACACACACACAGACACACACAUAUACACACGAUGUAUUUAAUCUUGUAUGUUUUGUGCAUUCAGGGCAAGGGGGAGAAAAUGAUGAAAAGCUGCCUAUUUAACAGUCCCUGCCCUCAAGGAGGAUACAAUAUAGUUGGAGAGAUGAGGCUGACAUGGGCGACAGGUGUUUAGCCAGGCUCCACUAAGCGUGAUUGAAACGAGUAAAUCUUCUGACUUAGGGAAGGCAUCUCUGAUUCUGCUGAAUAUCAGGUGCUCAUGCUUUAGGGACAGGGAGGAUUUGGUUAACAGAGUGGAGGGGCUGGGCCUUCCCGGAAGGAAGGACAGUGGAAUAAAGGCUUGUCUGCAGACACGUGCAUUCCGGGGCUUCUCUGGGACAGCCAUUCCCCUGGGUGCCCAGGACUGCAGUGGCACGAGCUCAGUGAGGAGUCGGCUCCCUCUAAGGCCUUCUGGGGGAUCCCCCAUCCCUGGAGUGGAGGGCUGGCUCCAAAGCUGCUCUAAGGUGGGCUUGUGUUGGUCCCCUCCUCCCUCCUGGGUCCCUCCAGCUCUAAAAUCCCAGGGUUUUCUGGAACUAGGAAAGAGGGCCAAAACUCCUGUUCCAGGAGUUGGGUGGAUGGGAGGGAGGUUUAGAGCACCCACCUGACCUCUGACCUCGACUCCCAGGCCACCCUGGGCAGGCCUCUUUCUGGCCUUUGGGUCUCAGUUAUCCCCCAUGGGAUCCAGGUCCACAGCAGGACCAGCGGGCACUGUGUCAUUAGUGGAGGAAGGAAGAGCACGUUCUGAGUCCUGGCU